AUUUAACUGCCACCGGGUAGUAAAAUGCUUAUGCAUUCGUAUACACAUCGUUAGGUCAUAGAAGAUGUGUGUCCGGGUGCAUUUUUAAU
rnacentral:ncRNA from 1 species